GAGUUUGAUCUUGGCUCAGAUUGAACGCUGGCGGCAUGCCUUACACAUGCAAGUCGAGCGGCAGCGCGGGGGCAACCCUGGCGGCGAGCGGCGAACGGGUGAGUAAUGCAUCGGAACGUGUCCUCUUGUGGGGGAUAACCAGUCGAAAGACUGGCUAAUACCGCAUGAGAUCGAGAGAUGAAAGCAGGGGACCGCAAGGCCUUGCGCGAGAGGAGCGGCCGAUGCCGGAUUAGCUAGUUGGUGGGGUAACGGCCUACCAAGGCGACGAUCCGUAGCUGGUCUGAGAGGACGACCAGCCACACUGGGACUGAGACACGGCCCAGACUCCUACGGGAGGCAGCAGUGGGGAAUUUUGGACAAUGGGGGCAACCCUGAUCCAGCCAUGCCGCGUGUGUGAAGAAGGCCUUC
rnacentral:rRNA from 1 species